AACGAACGCUGGCGGCAUGCCUAAUACAUGCAAGUCGAACGAUCACUUCGGUGGUAGUGGCGCACGGGUGCGUAACGCGUGGGAAUCUGCCCUUGGGUUCGGAAUAACGUCGGGAAACUGACGCUAAUACCGGAUGAUGACGUAAGUCCAAAGAUUUAUCGCCCAGGGAUGAGCCCGCGUAGGAUUAGCUAGGUGGUGGGGUAAAGGCCUACCAAGGCGACGAUCCUUAGUUGGUCUGGGAGGAUGAUCAGCCACACUGGGACUGAGACACGGCCCAGACUACUACGGGAGGCAGCAGUAGGGAAUAUUGGACAAUGGGGGCAACCCUGAUCCAGCAAUGCCGCGUGAGUGAUGAAGGCCUUAGGGUUGUAAAGCUCUUUUACCCGGGAUGAUAAUGACAGUACCGGGAGAAUAAGCCCCGGCUAACUCCGUGCCAGCCGCCGCGGUAA
rnacentral:rRNA from 1 species